UGGCCUCUCCUCUUCUAAACGGUGUCCAGGGUGAUUAGAGUUGUGUGGUGGCUCAUUCUCUGGAGGUGGUUUCUCGCCUUUUGGUUUCGGUUUGGGGAAUGGCCUCUCCUCUUCUAAACGGUGUCCGGGGUGAUCAGGGUUGUGUGGUGGCUCAUUCUCUGGAGGUGGUUUCUCGCCUUUUGGUUUUGGUUCAGGAAAUGGCCUCUCCUCUUCUAAACGGUGUCCGGGGUGAUCAGGGUCGUGUGGUGGCUCAUUCUCUAGAGGUGGUUUCUCAUCCUUUGGUUUUGGCUCGGGGAAUGGCCUCUCCUCUUCUAAACGGUGUCCGGGUGAUCAGGGUCGUGUGGUGGCUCAUUCUCUGGAGGUGGUUUCUCAUCCUUUGGUUUUGGCUCGGGGAAUGGCCUCUCCUCUUCUAAACGGUGUCCAG